UAUAUAUAGCAGUACAUAAGGGAUAAACAUAACCCCAAAUCAGGAUUACUAUUAAACUAAUGUUGACACGUGCUUGUGUACGUGGCUCAUACAUGGAGUGGACGUGGGUUCUUCGGCUAGUUGAGGAGGCGGAGUUCACUUUCCAGAGUUAUCUCGAGUUCACUUUCCAGAGUAGAAAUGGUGGGCCACUCAUUUAACCUGUAUUCACACAACAUUCUUCUUAUUAUCUUUUUCUUCUCGUUUUCUUCUUUCUUCUUCUGCUCUUCCAUGUUCUUCCUCUUUCGUCUCUGGUAAUCUUAAUUCAAGGACUGAGUUUGAUUUUAGUCGAGUGGAUCUUAGUCAGCGUAAUAUGUAGAUGAUUUGAGAGUAAGGAUGGAAGUAUUGGAAGUUUGUUUAACGCUGAAAGAUGAACUGAAUUAGGGUUAUAUAGUCGAUUGAAGUUCCGAAGAUUUAGAAGAUAAUUUAUGAAGCUAUUUUUGAUGAAGAAUCAUAGGUAGUUGUUUAAUUGAAGUUCCGAAGUUGAUUCAGUGAAGGAUUGGAGAAUUAGGGUUGUGAUAAUUUCUGAAGAGAUUAGGAAGAUGAAAUUGAAGAACGGGUUUUGAAGAUUACGAGGUGAAUAAGAAGUUAAUGAUGUUAAUUUGAAGAUUUGUUUGCAGAGAAGACCGAUUUAGAGAUUUGUAGAAUUAGGGUUCUGUUCUAGUUUUUUCUCUUGAGUUGAUUUAAGGAAGAUGGAGUUCAUAUCUUAAUGAAGGGGUAUGAAUCGAAUUAGAGGAAUUAUUGUAAGACAACUUAACUGGUUGAGCUGGUGAUUUAAGUUAAGAAGGAGAUGUAGAUGAAUUGAGAAAUUACAUAUGCAGAAAAUGAACUAUGGUGGUGGUUUGAGAUGGUUUAUGGAAUUGAGACAAGUAAAGAAGAAUUCAGCCUCAGAUUCUUGAUUGAAUCCAUUCUGAGGUAAUUGUUUUGCUUAAUUGAUUUGGAGGAAUUAUUCCUGUUCAUUAUUGAGAUUAUAUGAAUGCUUAUGAAGUUAAGAAUUAUGUUGAUAUAAAAUGGAGCUGUGUUGAUUGGGGAUUUAGGUUUAUUUAUAUCUGAGGGGUUGGUACUUAUUAAGGAUGAAGCUGAGUUUUAGAAGUGGUGUUGACAUUAGUUACACAAAACUGUGUUGGUUGUAGUGAACUGGACAAGGAAAUGGUAAUGGUGAUAGCUUUAGUGUGGAUGUUGGGUUGUUGUAUAGUGACUGAGAAGAUAUUGAUGAAGAAUUUACUUGUUCUGUGUGUAUUUUGAAUGAUCUAGUGGUGCACGAAUGGAUGAGUUAAACUACAUUUGUUGAUUAUGUUGUUGUGGUGAGGUCAUAGUGGUGAUGGAGCUGACGGAUAGUGCAGGAGUUAGAGUUACUAGUAAAGCUGGUGGAGUAAAUUAUAGGUAAUAUGAAGAGAGUAUGAUUUCUACUGAAGUGCAAAUGGAGUCCUAAGGUUUAGUGUAAUAUUGUACUGAGUUACAAUUUGUAGUGGUGUUAUUGAAGCUGCAGGGGAUAUGAGUGGAUGUGGAAGUUUAGGAACUGUUUUGAGAUAUGGAAUAGAGUUACAGUUACAACUUGUUGAGCUGAAUUGUUUGAUGUAGUGCUGUUGUGUUAGUUGGAGCUUAAAGCAUCCUUUGCAGUUAGACUAUAUUAACAACGAUCGAUUCAAGGGAUGAACCAGUGGAUCGUGGAUUUCGAGGUACGCGUGGCUUGUAAUCAAAAGAGUUUCAGAGACAGAUCGGAGUUGCGCAGCGAAAGGUUCGAGGAGUUGAGUCCGUUAGUUGGUUAACUUCUAAUAUGUUUAUUAUGUUGUAUAUUUCACUUGUAAACCAUAUGACCAUUUUAUAUGUAUCAUUUGAUAGGAUUUCUUGUAUAUGUAUAUAUUUCAGAGCGGGGCUAGUUUUGGAUUCAGUUUUGUAGCAGACUUCUUAAUUGAAUGUUUAAGUAAAUGAUUUAGAUUUUUA